rnacentral:rRNA from 1 species
CGCUGGCGGCGUGCUUAACACAUGCAAGUCGAACGGUGAAGCCCAGCUUGCUGGGUGGAUCAGUGGCGAACGGGUGAGUAACACGUGAGCAACCUGCCCCUGACUCUGGGAUAAGCGCUGGAAACGGCGUCUAAUACUGGAUAUGUAUCACGGCCGCAUGGUCUGUGGUUGGAAAGAUUUUUCGGUUGGGGAUGGGCUCGCGGCCUAUCAGCUUGUUGGUGAGGUAAUGGCUCACCAAGGCGUCGACGGGUAGCCGGCCUGAGAGGGUGACCGGCCACACUGGGACUGAGACACGGCCCAGACUCCUACGGGAGGCAGCAGUGGGGAAUAUUGCACAAUGGGCGCAAGCCUGAUGCAGCAACGCCGCGUGAGGGAUGACGGCCUUCGGGUUGUAAACCUCUUUUAGCAGGGAAGAAGCGAAAGUGACGGUACCUGCAGAAAAAGCGCCGGCUAACUACGUGCCAGCAGCCGCGGUAAUACGUAGGGCGCAAGCGUUAUCCGGAAUUAUUGGGCGUAAAGAGCUCGUAGGCGGUUUGUCGCGUCUGCUGUGAAAUCCCGAGGCUCAACCUCGGGUCUGCAGUGGGUACGGGCAGACUAGAGUGCGGUAGGGGAGAUUGGAAUUCCUGGUGUAGCGGUGGAAUGCGCAGAUAUCAGGAGGAACACCGAUGGCGAAGGCAGAUCUCUGGGCCGUAACUGACGCUGAGGAGCGAAAGGGUGGGGAGCAAACAGGCUUAGAUACCCUGGUAGUCCACCCCGUAAACGUUGGGAACUAGUUGUGGGGUCCAUUCCACGGAUUCCGUGACGCAGCUAACGCAUUAAGUUCCCCGCCUGGGGAGUACGGCCGCAAGGCUAAAACUCAAAGGAAUUGACGGGGACCCGCACAAGCGGCGGAGCAUGCGGAUUAAUUCGAUGCAACGCGAAGAACCUUACCAAGGCUUGACAUAUACGAGAACGGGCCAGAAAUGGUCAACUCUUUGGACACUCGUAAACAGGUGGUGCAUGGUUGUCGUCAGCUCGUGUCGUGAGAUGUUGGGUUAAGUCCCGCAACGAGCGCAACCCUCGUUCUAUGUUGCCAGCACGUAAUGGUGGGAACUCAUGGGAUACUGCCGGGGUCAACUCGGAGGAAGGUGGGGAUGACGUCAAAUCAUCAUGCCCCUUAUGUCUUGGGCUUCACGCAUGCUACAAUGGCCGGUACAAAGGGCUGCAAUACCGCGAGGUGGAGCGAAUCCCAAAAAGCCGGUCCCAGUUCGGAUUGAGGUCUGCAACUCGACCUCAUGAAGUCGGAGUCGCUAGUAAUCGCAGAUCAGCAACGCUGCGGUGAAUACGUUCCCGGGUCUUGUACACACCGCCCGUCAAGUCAUGAAAGUCGGUAACACCUGAAGCCGGUGGCCUAACCUUUUUGGAGGGAGCCGUCGAAGGUGGG